rnacentral:rRNA from 1 species
GACGAACGCUGGCGGCGUGCUUACACAUGCAAGUCGAACGGAAAGGCCCUGCUUUUGUGGGGUGCUCGAGUGGCGAACGGGUGAGUAACACGUGAGUAACCUGCCCUUGACUUUGGGAUAACUUCAGGAAACUGGGGCUAAUACCGGAUAGGAGCUCCUGCUGCAUGGUGGGGGUUGGAAAGUUUCGGCGGUUGGGGAUGGACUCGCGGCUUAUCAGCUUGUUGGUGGGGUAGUGGCUUACCAAGGCUUUGACGGGUAGCCGGCCUGAGAGGGUGACCGGCCACAUUGGGACUGAGAUACGGCCCAGACUCCUACGGGAGGCAGCAGUGGGGAAUAUUGCACAAUGGGCGGAAGCCUGAUGCAGCAACGCCGCGUGCGGGAUGAAGGCCUUCGGGUUGUAAACCGCUUUCGCCUGUGACGAAGCGUGAGUGACGGUAAUGGGUAAAGAAGCACCGGCUAACUACGUG